UGUGUGGUUUCUUGUGUGCACCGCCCAUACGUGUUCCAAGUUACAGAGUCAUUUAGAUGAGUGGUGAGGAAAUUCAACGACUCAAACCACCUCCUGAUGUGCAGCUUAUAAUUAUUUAACACGUCACCGUAAUUUGGUGCCAGGUGUAAUCCGAUGCCCUGUUAAUCAUUCAAAUUUCUGCCACUUUACCUUUUCUUUCUUUUCUUUUUUUGUUGUUUGUUAUCUUAAUAUUCUCGGUAGUUCAAAUAGGCUUUUUUUUGCCAGUAGUUAAUUCUCUCUCUUUUUUUUUUCAUUCUGCAUUAUCUUGCGUUCGCUACUAUAUGACCUGGUUUGAACUUUGAGGUGAACCACUGUGCAUUGGCGUCAUCUGUUUUAGCCUUUCAUUUCAAUUUCGCUUCCGCCGUAGCAGGAGAUACAACUGGUAUUUAAUCGUUUGUGCAACUUUUAAAAAGUACAGAAAAUACCUCAAAGAAAUAAUUAUAUAUAAAAAUAUAUUGUUUGUAAAAAUGGCUAGUAUUUGUUAGUUGUUUUCUGUGAUGUGCUGACCCUGUGGUGAGGACUCGAGCGACAGCAGCAGCUGAAUGGGAGUUCCUGGCAGUGCUGCAGAUUUCGCCUGAAGUGGAGGCCAAACUAAAAGUGAAACCAAACGCUGUCGCACCAGGCUGCCGUUUGCUCCUUUGUUCAAUUUCUCCAGCUUUCGUCGCAUUUUAUGGAUGGAUUUUCUUUAACGGCACGCCAUCCGUGUGGAAUAAUAGGACAGAAGCGUCGUUUAUGGAUCACAUCUACGAAGGAUCAAACGUAGUCCUGGAUAUCUGCACCUCUACGUCUGCUCCAUAAGAAGAAGAAGGAAGAAGUGCAUAAAGGAACUAUGUCUGAAACUGAGGCGGAGGCAGACUGUGGGAAUUAUACAAGUUAAUAUUCAGCAAAAAAAAUAUAUAUAUAUAUAUAUAGGCGUAUGGUAAAAAUGAAGUAGUGUGCCCUUAUACACUCUUUCACAUCUGUUUUUCCCACAUAUUUUCCAACCACACUUAAUAAAUGUAUAUGUUCAUGAUGCAACCCUUCAUUGUUGGAGGAGAGGUAGUUCAUGUCCAUGCGUUUACUCAGUUGUGUUUCUACAAAGGAAAACUGCAGCGUCACACCUUGCGAUCAACAAGGUGAUUUCCACGCUUGGCAUUGUGUUAAAUACGUAACAAAGCACGGCAUCAACCUGAACUCUGUUUCAUAGGUUAAUGAUUGCACUUUUUAUUACCUGCUUAGUUUGCUGAUUCAUAUGUUUUGUCACACAAUUACAAACCUGUCAUGUACAGUGUUUUCUAAAGCUUAAAUCGUUCUUAAACUAAAUGUAUCCCGUGUUGCAAAAUGAUAUCCACAUAUUUCGCUACGUAAAACACAAUGCACAUAAAACGACUUUAAAAAAAAAAGAAAUGAUAAGAGAAGGAACAGCUGCAGGUCAUUCAUGCAGGUGUUGCACCACAAAGGACGGAUGAAAGAUCACAUUUCAGUAGCGCACCUCAAACCUUUUUAACCACUUAAAGGCUUUUUUUAAGCUUUUUGUUUGUUUGUUUUCACAGAUCCACAGUAAGUAUCCUAAAAAGCAAAGAUAUUUGUGUGUGAAAUCCUGAUUUAUUUAUUUAUUUGUUUGUUUAUUUAUUUAUUUUUGUGUAACCUCCCACAGAAGUCCUGUUACUAACUGUUUUACUGGUUAAUUGUGACUAACGGGAACAUUGAUAACUUUAUAAUUUUAACACACUGGAAAAGAUAAAUUAUAAUAAUAAUUUAUGUUGCACUACUCUGUACAAAUUUCAGUACAUGGAAACAUGUUCAUAAAGCUCCUGUUAUAGUAUUAUCAUACCAGUAGCAUCAAUUGAAGACGAGUUAAUUAUUAUUAAGACGGUCGUCCUGACGGGGUCCUCUGUAUUAUUUCUGGAAAUUUUGUGGUAAGUUUCAACUCUACUUUUAACCCUCUGGUUACCUCUAAAUUUACUAACAUUUUUUAUUCUUUGGGUCAAUCUGCCCCGAGCAAUUUAAACCUCCAGAAUUGUCUUUAUAAUUAAAAUAGCUCUUUAAAUAAAUCAACCUUAAAUUGACCUUAAAUCAGAAGGAGAUAAGUUUAGAGGCCUUUAUAUUACCUCUAAGUACAUCUCUUUCUACCUUUUUCCCGUGGCGCUGAUGUAGAAGUGAUCGACGCUACUUCUGGUUCAUACCAGAGGUAACGCCCAUAAUUCACGCAAGGGCUCAUGGGAGCUAGGAAUAAGGUGAAUAAGGAAAAACUAUCGUCACAAUUAUUAAAAAGAAUGAUAUAUAAUGUCAGUGACCCUUUUAAAUUAUGGGAAGUCAUUAAAUAUGAAUAAAAAAAUGAAGUUAGUCGUAUAUUUAGAGACGUUGAGCUCUGAUUAGAAUAACAAUAGGGAGAUUGAUGAAGCAUUAAGCUCCCAAUGAUGCAUUAAAGGACUAUUGUCACUGAUGUACUAAAUCUGGAAGCUACAUUUGGUCACGGUGCAGUGAAUUAUUAUCUGUUAACUACAGUCUGAAUUUGUAAAGUAAUUCUGUUUUUUCUCCAUAAAUGUGAUGAAGUUCAAGUUUUUCAGGUUAUAUUUCCAUAUCUGUUGUACAUGCUGAUUGUUUGUGAGCAAGUGCCUCCCUGAAAUGGCCUGUCCGGGUUUCCUGAUUGGCUGGAGGCUGGUCUUCUUCUUCAUGCCCUGUGUUGUGGUUUUGCUUGUCACGUAACAUUCAUAGCCCCGGCAUUGUGUGGCAGGACUGUUUUUGAGUUGAGGAUAAUAGGAGUCUGUUUUUAGUUUUUUUUUAUUAUUAUUAUUUGUGUGCGUGUGUGUUCUAUGUGUAAACUGUGUGUAAUAAAAAAUAAAAAUAUUAAAAAUACAUGCAAAGGA